ensembl:lncRNA
GUGUGUGUGUGUGUGUGUGUGUGUGUGUGUGCUCUCUGGACUAGCAGUAAGACAGGUUAGCUACUUUAACACACUUAAACCCUCUUCUACAGUCGUGUGUUCGUGUGUGUGUGUGUGUGUGUGUGUGUGUGUGUGUGCACUCUCUGGACUAGCAGUAAGACAGGUAGGCUACUUUAACACACUUCAACCCUCUUCUACAGUCGUGUGUGUGUGCGUAUCUGUGUGUUUGAUAGUGAAAGAAGUAGCGAGAGAGAGGAAACGUGUGUGUGUGUGUGUGUGUGUGUGUGUGUGUGUGUGUGUGUGUGUUUAAUCAUAUCCGGGUGCUGGUGGGUUCAGAGCCUCUGCUGUCCUGACACAGACCACAGUCAGGAGCGAGAGGGGAGUGGAGAAGAGUAAGGCAGUGUGUGUGUGUGUGUGUGUGUGUGUGUGUGUGAGAGAGAGAGUCAGGAGCAGGAGUGGAAUGGAGAAGAGUAAGGC